ensembl:lncRNA
CCUAAAACACUGCUAAAUAGCACUCAGCUCUCUUCCUUUAAUUAUGUGCGUAAUGAAGCUAAUUUAAACAGCAGCCAGCAGCCCGGAGACCCCAGUGCGGUGCUGUGCCCCGUCCCGCUGCUACCAGAGGACUUUUUUCAGGUUAGCUGCUCACCCAACUAAGGAUGCGGGAUGCUCGCCGGCCCCCGAGCACCACCUGCCGACAUGAUGCCUUAAAACAACCCACGGUCGGGAACGUGCAGCCCUUGCCCAGAAGGGGAACGAAGACAUAGGAAGGAUCGCUGGGAUCUUCCGUGGGUCGGUUCUCCCUUUCCCUGUGCUCCCACCAGACCUUGAGAUAAGGGGAUAUUUCAUCGCUGCCUCGCAGAUGCUGCCCAUCAAAGCUCCACUUGUGCCAUGGCUGGAAUCACUCAGGAAAAUUUGGAGAUGGGCUCAGGCUCUUUUUGAGUCCUCACAGGGAAGACUUUGGUCCUAGAACAGCAGCCUGUGUUCAUACAGUCACUGGAGGAGUAUUAAAGUACGUUCUGGAACAAGCCAAGAGUUGGGGCUGAGGUGCCCCAACAGCUGAGUCUCCAACUAUUCAUCUGCAGGUUAAGUCAUCCCAUUUCAUUGAACUGGAGGAGACUAAUGUGAGUGUGUGAAAGCUUCCAGCAAUUCCUUACCUCUUUGUUUUCCCAGCAAAACAUGGAGAUGAUUUGGUUGUUCUCCACACCACCACCUACACGGGACAGCAGCAUGUGAAACCUGCUGGCUGACAGACCGCACUUAGCAGCGGGUAACGCUCUUUUGAUAUCAUCCUAUUUGACUUUUCUACUCUGUUUUCUACUUCAGUUUCAGCACAGAGGUGGAGUUGGAGACCCAAGGAGCAGGAGAUCUCACCUACACCACUAUUUGGGUAGAGGAGGACAGGGAUGUUUGUAGCACUUCCCCUGCUGGAACACACUGAGUUGCUGGAGAACAUCCCCACCUAUAUGAGAACCUGAGCAUAGGAUCCUUGCAAGGGCUCAAAGCACAAAAAGCUGUUGGAAAUGCUGCUUGCUUCCCCCCCGGACAGCCCCUCCACCAGCAGCACUCAGUGUGAGAGCCCAUUUUACCUCUUGGAGAGGAGAUAAUUAUUUCUUGUCAGUUAGGCUCAAUCACCAAGCUCCGACCAGCUGGUGGUCUAUCACCACUUAGCCUCAUUUACCGCCAUGAUAGCCUUUUAGCUGCUCCACAUUUCACAGGUUCUCUGCCAUUGUGCUCAUAAAUUCCCCUUUAAAAAAAAAAAUCAUAAAAAUUUAUGAGGGAGGGGGGUGGGGGAAAAAAAAGGGCAUAAAACAGAGGCAGCAUAGAGAAAAGGUACUAAAAUUUCCAGCUGAAGAUGAGGUUGCUUACCCCCAGCUGUGUGAAGUGCAGUGAUUGAGGGGCUGGCUGAUGAGGGUUGAUUGCCUUCCUCCUGCUCCUUGCCCCCAUUAAGGGAGAAGUGCAUCCUCCCUCUGGGUGCACUGAUUAACAGCAGUGCCAGGAGAGACCUGGGAACAAGAGCAUCUUCUGCACUUUGAUGAGAUCCAUGGGUUUUCCUGAGCCUUGUGAAUGAAAAUAAAGGGGGCUGUAGGAAAGGGGACA